rnacentral:rRNA from 1 species
UACGUAGGAUGCAAGCGUUGUCCGGAUUUAUUGGGCGUAAAGAGUUCGUAGGUGGUUUGUUAAGUUUGGUGUUAAAGAUUGGGGCUCAACCCUGAAACUGCACUGAAUACUGGCAGACUCGAGUGUGGUAGAGGCUAGUGGAAUUCCCAGUGUAGCGGUGAAAUGCGUAGAUAUUGGGAAGAACACCGGUGGCGUAGGCGACUAGCUGGGCCAUAACUGACACUGAGGAACGAAAGCCAGGGGAGCGAAUGGG